rnacentral:rRNA from 1 species
GGGGACACCGAGUGUCAGCAUCAUAUGCUGGCUGUCCAGGUGUGUAAAAUACACCUGUUAGCAAGGGCCGGGCAAGACCGGUGCCAGCCGCCGCGGUAACACCGGCGGCCCGAGUGGUGAUCGUGAUUAUUGGGUCUAAAGGGUCCGUAGCCGGUUUGGUCAGUCCUCCGGGAAAUUUGAUAGCUCAACUAUUAGGCUAUCGGGGGAUACUACCAGACUUGGAACCGGGAGAGGUAAGAGGUACUACAGGGGUAGGAGUGAAAUCUUGUAAUCCCUGUGGGACCACCUGUGGCGAAGGCGUCUUACCAGAACGGGUUCGACGGUGAGGGACGAAAGCUGGGGGCACGAACCGGAUUAGAUACCCGGGUAGUCCCAGCCGUAAACGAUGCUCGCUAGGUGUCAGGCAUGGCGCGACCGUGUCUGGUGCCGCAGGGAAGCCGUGAAGCGAGCCACCUGGGAAGUACGGCCGCAAGGCUGAAACUUAAAGGAAUUGGCGGGGG